GGCGAAAGUCUCCGGGCAAUGGGGCAGAGAGUGCCAGCCCUAGCAGGCAGGACCCCUCUGCGCAGAGUGCAGGUCACCGCGCCUGCCUUUGUCGGAGGGCAGCUUGCCAUAGCCACAGUCAUGUAGCCAGUGGAGACACAAUCCACCAACACAACGGAGCUUACUCCC
rnacentral:RNase_MRP_RNA from 12 species